CCAAUAGCGUAUAUUAAAGUUGUUGUGGUUAAGAAGCUCGUAGUUGAACCUUGGGCCUGGCUGGCCGGUCCGCCUCACCGCGUGUACUGGUCCGGCCGGGCCUCUCCCUCUGUGGAACCUCAUGCCCUUCACUGGGUGUGACGGGGAAGCAGGACUUUUACUGUGGAAAAAUUAGAGUGCUCCAAGCAGGCCUAUGCUCGAAUACAUUAGCAUGGAAUAAUAAAAUAGGACGUGCGGUUCUAUUUUGUUGGUUUCUAGGACCGCCGUAAUGAUUAAUAGGGACAGUCGGGGGCAUCAGUAUUCAAUUGUCAGAGGUGAAAUUCUUGGAUUUAUUGAAGACUAACUACUGCGAAAGCAUUUGCCAAGGAUGUUUUCAUUAAUCAGGAACGAAAGUUAGGGGAUCGAAGACGAUCAGAUACCGUCGUAGUCUUAACCAUAAACUAUGCCGACUAGGGAUCGGACGAUGUUAUUUUUUGACUCGUUCGGCACCUUACG
rnacentral:rRNA from 1 species